rnacentral:snRNA from 1 species
AUGCUACUUUCACAGCACAUAUACUAAAAUUGGAAUGAUGCACAGAAGAUUAACAUAGCACCUGAACAAGGACAAAAUACAAACUCUUUUUUUUUUUUU